rnacentral:rRNA from 1 species
UGGGGAAUAUUGGACAAUGGGCGAAAGCCUGAUCCAGCCAUGCCGCGUGUGUGAAGAAGGUCUUCGGAUUGUAAAGCACUUUAAGUUGGGAGGAAGGGCAGUAAGCGAAUACCUUGCUGUUUUGACGUUACCGACAGAAUAAGCACCGGCUAACUCUGUGCCAGCAGCCGCGGUAAUACAGAGGGUGAAAGCGUUAAUCGGAAUUACUGGGCGUAAAGCGCGCGUAGGUGGUUCGUUAAGUUGAAUGUGAAAGCCCCGGGCUCAACCUGGGAACUGCAUCCAAAACUGGCGAGCUAGAGUAGGGCAGAGGGUGGUGGAAUUUCCUGUGUAGCGGUGAAAUGCGUAGAUAUAGGAAGGAACACCAGUGGCGAAGGCGACCACCUGGGCUCAUACUGACACUGAGGUGCGAAAGCGUGGGGAGCAAACAGG